GAAUCCAGUGGCCUAGUUGUUAGAGAGUCCGCCUGAGAUGCGGAAGGUCGCAAGUUCGAACCCCUGCCGAGUCA